CCUACGGGAGGCAGCAGUGGGGAAUAUUGCACAAUGGGCGCAAGCCUGAUGCAGCAACGCCGCGUGAGGGACGACGGCCUUCGGGUUGUAAACCUCUUUUAGUAGGGAAGAAGCGAAAGUGACGGUACCUGCAGAAAAAGCACCGGCUAACUACGUGCCAGCAGCCGCGGUAAUACGUAGGGUGCAAGCGUUAUCCGGAAUUAUUGGGCGUAAAGAGCUCGUAGGCGGUUUGUCGCGUCUGCUGUGAAAACUGGAGGCUCAACCUCCAGCCUGCAGUGGGUACGGGCAAACUAGAGUGCGGUAGGGGAGAUUGGAAUUCCUGGUGUAGCGGUGGAAUGCGCAGAUAUCAGGAGGAACACCGAUGGCGAAGGCAGAUCUCUGGGCCGUAACUGACGCUGAGGAGCGAAAGCAUGGGGAGCGAACAGGAUUAGAUACCCUGGUAGUCCAUGCCGUAAACGUUGGGCGCUAGAUGUGGGGACCAUUCCACGGUUUCCGUGUCGCAGCUAACGCAUUAAGCGCCCCGCCUGGGGAGUACGGCCGCAAGGCUAAAACUCAAAGGAAUUGACGGCGNGAGACGNGCGACGACGACGACGAGGGAGAGG
rnacentral:rRNA from 1 species